AUGGGCAACACGUUUAUGGACAUCUAAAACUGUUGGCUAAUUUUUGGGUAUUUACAGACCAGAUUUGCGAAUUUUAAAAAGGAAAUUUUCGAAAUAUGAAUUACGAAAUUUCGAUGAAUGUUAAAAGGAAAGUUAUGUUUAUUCACAACACAAUAAACAAAGGAGCAAACCAAGAGCUAAGUGUAAGCGGUAGAAGUUAUAGCUGCUAUUUCGGAAAUCCCCACAUUUCAUAAUCAGACUUCUGUUUCUAGGCUUCAGCAGGAAUCGAACCUGCCGCAUCGAUGUGCAAAGCCAGUAACUCUAACCACUAAGGAACAAUCAUUUUUGCCAAAUAUAUUAUUGAAAAAUGUAA